GAUGAACGCUGGCGGCGUGCUUAAUACAUGCAAGUCGAGCGAACAGACGAGGAGCUUGCUCCUCUGACGUUAGCGGCGGACGGGUGAGUAACACGUGGAUAACCUACCUAUAAGACUGGGAUAACUUCGGGAAACCGGAGCUAAUACCGGAUAAUAUAUUGAACCGCAUGGUUGAAUAGUGAAUGACGUUUUUGCUGUGCCUUCUAGAUGGAUCCGCGCGGCGUUAGCUAGUUGGUAAGGUAACGGCUUACCAAGGCCAGCAUGCGUAGCCGACCUGAGAGGGUGUUCGGCCACACUGGAACUGAGACACGGUCCAGGCUCCUACGGGAGGCAGCGGUAGGGAAUCGUCCGCAAUGGGCGAAAGCCUGACGGAGCAGCGCCGCGUGGGUGAUGAAGGUCUUCGGAUCGUAAAACUCUGUUAUUGGGGAAGAACAAAUGUGUAAGUAACUAUGCACGUCUUGACGGUACCUAAUCAGGAAGCCACGGCUAACUACGUG
rnacentral:rRNA from 1 species